rnacentral:rRNA from 1 species
AUUGAACGCUGGCGGCAGGCCUAACACAUGCAAGUCGAACGAGUGGCGGACGGGUGAGUAAUGUCUGGGCAACUGCCCGAUGGAGGGGGAUAACUACUGGAACCGGUAGCUACUACCGCAUACCAUCGGAUGUGCCCAGAUGGGAUUAGCUAGUAGGUGUGGUAACGGCUCACCUAGGCGACGAUGCCUAGCUGGUCUGAGAGGAUGACCAGCCAAACGGGAACUGAGAAACGGUCCAGACUCCUACGGGAGGCAGCAGUGGGGAAGAUUGCACAAUGGGCGCAAGCCGGAUGCAGCCAUGCCGCGUGUAUGAAGAAGGCCUUCGGGUUGGAAAGUACUUUCAGCGAGGAGGCGUUACUCGCAGAAGAAGCACCGGCUAACUCCGUGCCAGCAGCCGCGGUAAUUC